rnacentral:rRNA from 1 species
UACGUAGGGAGCAAGCGUUGUCCGGAAUCAUUGGGCGUAAAGCGCGCGUAGGUGGCUUCGUAAGUCCGUUGUGAAAGUCAAAGGCUCAACCUUUGAAAGCCGAUGGAUACUGCGGAGCUAGAGUACGGAAGAGGCGAGUGGAAUUCCUGGUGUAGCGGUGGAAUGCGCAGAUAUCAGGAGGAACACCAAUAGCGAAGGCAGCUCACUAAGCAAAUAUUGACGCUGAGGCACGAAAGCGUGGGGAUCAAACAGG